AGAGUUGAUCAUGGCUCAGAAUCAACGCUGGCGGCGCGCUUAACACAUGCAAGUCGCACGAGAAAGUCCGCAAGGAUGAGUAAAGUGGCGUACGGGUGAGUAACACGUGGAUCAUCUACCUCUUGGUGGGGAAUAACCCUGGGAAACCGGGGCUAAUACCGCAUAAGCCUGCGAAGGGAAAGCAGCAAUGCGCCGAGAGAGGAGUCCGCGGCCGAUUAGCUAGUUGGUAGGGUAAUGGCCUACCAAGGCAAUGAUCGGUAGCCGGCCUGAGAGGGCACACGGCCACACUGGCACUGAAACACGGGCCAGACUCCUACGGGAGGCAGCAGUGGGGAAUCUUGCACAAUGGAGGAAACUCUGAUGCAGCGACGCCGCGUGAGCGAUGAAGCCCUUCGGGGUGUAAAGCUCUUUCGACGGGAACGAUAAUGACGGUACCCGGAGAAGAAGCUGCGGCUAACUACGUGCCAGCAGCCGCGGUAAUACGUAGGCAGCAAGCGUUGUUCGGAAUUACUGGGCGUAAAGAGUGUGUAGGCGGUUCUCUAUGUUCGGUGUGAAAUCUCCCGGCUUAACUGGGAGGGUGCGCCGAAAACUGGAGGGCUUGAGUAUGGGAGAGGAAAGCGGAAUUCCUGGUGUAGCGGUGAAAUGCGUAGAUAUCAGGAGGAACACCUGCGGUGUAGACGGCUUUCUGGACCAUCACUGACGCUGAGACACGAAAGCGUGGGUAGCAAACAGGAUUAGAUACCCUGGUAGUCCACGCCCUAAACGAUGCAUACUUGGUGUGAGCCGUUCAUUCGGUUCGUGCCGGAGCUAACGCGUUAAGUAUGCCGCCUGGGGAGUACGGUCGCAAGGCUGAAACUCAAAGGAUUUGACGGGGGCCCGCACAAGCGGUGGAGCAUGUGGUUUAAUUCGACGCAACGCGAAGAACCUUACCUGGGCCCGAACGGCUUUAGACAGACCUG
rnacentral:rRNA from 1 species